AUUGAACGCUGGCGGCAGGCCUAACACAUGCAAGUCGAGCGGCAGCACGGGAAGCUUGCUUCCUGGUGGCGAGCGGCGGACGGGUGAGUAAUGCAUAGAAAUCUGCCCGGUAGUGGGGGAUAACCUGGGGAAACCCAGGCUAAUACCGCAUACGUCCUACGGGAGAAAGCAGGGGCUCUUCGGACCUUGCGCUAUCGGAUGAGUCUAUGUCGGAUUAGCUUGUUGGUGAGGUAAUGGCUCACCAAGGCGACGAUCCGUAGCUGGUCUGAGAGGAUGAUCAGCCACAUCGGGACUGAGACACGGCCCGAACUCCUACGGGAGGCAGCAGUGGGGAAUAUUGGACAAUGGGCGAAAGCCUGAUCCAGCCAUGCCGCGUGUGUGAAGAAGGCCUUCGGGUUGUAAAGCACUUUCAGUGGGGAAGAAAGCCUWGRGGCUAAUACCCUCGAGGAAGGACAUCACCCACAGAAGAAGCACCGGCUAACUCCGUGCCAGCAGCCGCGGUAAUACGGAGGGUGCGAGCGUUAAUCGGAAUUACUGGGCGUAAAGCGCGCGUAGGCGGUCUGAUAAGCCGGUUGUGAAAGCCCCGGGCUCAACCUGGGAACGGCAUCCGGAACUGUCAGGCUAGAGUGCAGGAGAGGAAGGUAGAAUUCCCGGUGUAGCGGUGAAAUGCGUAGAGAUCGGGAGGAAUACCAGUGGCGAAGGCGGCCUUCUGGACUGACACUGACGCUGAGGUGCGAAAGCGUGGGUAGCAAACAGGAUUAGAUACCCUGGUAGUCCACGCCGUAAACGAUGUCGACUAGCCGUUGGGCUCCUUGAGAGCUUUGUGGCGCAGUUAACGCGAUAAGUCGACCGCCUGGGGAGUACGGCCGCAAGGUUAAAACUCAAAUGAAUUGACGGGGGCCCGCACAAGCGGUGGAGCAUGUGGUUUAAUUCGAUGCAACGCGAAGAACCUUACCUACCCUUGACAUCGUGCGAACUUUCCAGAGAUGGAUUGGUGCCUUCGGGAACGCACAGACAGGUGCUGCAUGGCUGUCGUCAGCUCGUGUUGUGAAAUGUUGGGUUAAGUCCCGUAACGAGCGCAACCCUUGUCCUUAUUUGCCAGCGCGUAAUGGCGGGAACUCUAAGGAGACUGCCGGUGACAAACCGGAGGAAGGUGGGGACGACGUCAAGUCAUCAUGGCCCUUACGGGUAGGGCUACACACGUGCUACAAUGGCCGGUACAAAGGGUUGCGAAGCCGCGAGGUGGAGCUAAUCCCGAAAAGCUGGUCUCAGUCCGGAUCGGAGUCUGCAACUCGACUCCGUGAAGUCGGAAUCGCUAGUAAUCGUGAAUCAGAAUGUCACGGUGAAUACGUUCCCGGGCCUUGUACACACCGCCCGUCACACCAUGGGAGUGGACUGCACCAGAAGUGGUUAGCCUAACUUCGGAGGGCGAUCACCACGGUGUGGUUCAUAACUGGGGUG
rnacentral:rRNA from 1 species